CUAAGAAAUGUCAGGAUCAGGAUCGGUUAGUUUGGUAUCAUCUGAGCCAUUGGUUCGACCGGCCGGCGAGGAGUUCCACGCGCCGCCGCCGCCGCUUCUCCUCCAGCCGCCGGCGGGGCCUCCCUUCCUACCCAAGCCUCCGCCGCCGUUCCCAUCUCCUCGUCCUCCGUGCCACCGCCGGCGCCUCUUCCGCUGAAUCCAUCUCCACCUCCUCACCUAUUCGCUAACGCCGCCUCCCAUCCUCUCUUCUCUCCGGGCUCCGGCUAGAUCCAAGUCGGCGUCGAGAUCCAGGGCUCGAAAACCCCUCACCUAUCCAAGGAUUUCAGAUAGAAAAAAUUGUGAAGAUUGAGGAAAACUAUCCUACGGCUCAAUGAGCAGAGCCGGUAUGUCAGACAACCAGUGAAGUCCAUGUCUUAUGCCCAAUGCUUGCACUCAAACCUCAUUCCUUUCCUAGGUUAAAGUAUGCUGUUUUAUUUUGGCCUUGGUGCACAUUUAAGCACCAGAUCUUUUACUCCCAUUUUCAUGUCCGCAAAUUCAUGAACCAGCAGAUUAAUCAUACAUGUACACCAAUUAAAUAUUGUAACAGAAGAGAUAUAUAUUCAUAUUCAACAUAUAUGCAUAGAGGUGAAGAGUAA